UAAUACGGAGGGAGCAAACGUUGUUCGGAUUUACUGGGCGUAAAGGGAGUCUAGGCGGCUUGGUAAGUCAGGGGUGAAAUCCCGCGGCUCAACCGCGGAGUUGCCUUUGAUACUGCCGAGCUUGAGGCCGUGAGAGGAGACUGGAAUUCCCAGUGUAGCGGUGAAAUGCAUAGAUAUUGGGAAGAACACCAGUGGCGAAGGCGAGUCUCUGGCACGGAUCUGACGCUGAAGCUCGAAAGCUAGGGGAGCAAACGGGAUUAGAUACCCCGGUAGUCCUAGCCGUAAACGAUGGGCACUAAGUGUCGGGAGAUCGACCCUUUCGGCGCUGAAGCUAACGCGUUAAGUGCCCCGCCUGGGGAGUACGGCCGCAAGGUUG
rnacentral:rRNA from 1 species